rnacentral:tRNA from 1 species
UGGGUUGUGGCUCAGCGGUUAGAGCAUUCGCCUGGCAUGUGCGAGGCCCUGGGUUCGAUCCUCAGCACCACAU